rnacentral:rRNA from 1 species
GAUGAACGCUGGCGGCGUGCCUAACACAUGCAAGUCGAGCGAUUUACUUCGGUAAAGAGCGGCGGACGGGUGAGUAACGCGUGGGUAACCUGCCCUGUACACACGGAUAACAUACUGAAAGGUAUGCUAAUACGGGAUAACAUAAGAGAGUCGCAUGGCUUUCUUAUCAAAGCUGUUGCGGUACAGGAUGGACCCGCGUCUGAUUAGCUAGUUGGUAAGGUGACGGCUUACCAAGGCGACGAUCAGUAGCCGACCUGAGAGGGUGAUCGGCCACAUUGGAACUGAGACGCGGUCCAAACUCCUACGGGAGGCAGCAGUGGGGAAUAUUGCGCAAUGGGCGAAAGCCUGAUGCAGCAACGCCGCGUGGGUGAUGAAGGCCUUCGGGUAGUAAAGCUCUGUCCUCAAGGAAGAUAAUGACGGUACUUGAGGAGGAAGCCCCGGCUAACUACGUGCCAGCCGCCGCCGUAA